GACGGAGGAUGCAAGCGUUAUCCGGAAUCAUUGGGCGUAAAGCGUUCGUAGGUGGUUCCGAAAGUCCGCUGUCAAAGCCCAGAGCUUAACUCUGGUUCGGCAGUGGAAACUUCGGAGCUUGAGUACGGUAGGGGCAGAGGGAACUCCCGGUGUAACAGUGAAAUGUGCAGAUCUCGGGAAGAACACCUAUGGCGAAAGCACUCUGCUGGGCCGUAACUGACACUCAUGAACGAAAGCUAGGGGAG
rnacentral:rRNA from 1 species